CUAGACAGAGACCAUCUAAGAGGUUUACAAUAACAUGGCUCUAAGAUCUUAAGACACAACUCUGAAGCAGGUUGGACUUGAACUCAGGUUUCCUGGUGUGGAGGUCACCAUAAAACAUGCCUUGGACAGUUUGGUCACUGCCAGGACGACCAGGUCUGCGGUCUGAGAAUCUGCUGGAAAUGUGCAUGGAGCUGCUCUUUAACGCUUUUACAUAUUGGUGCUCAACGACAAUGGCAAGGAAACAGGUCCUGAGAGUUCUUGAUCUCACUACAACUGAAACUCUUCACCCCAGCAGGAGGUCCUGGGGCCCUUUGCCUUGGAUGACCCUGAGUCGAGGGCCCAGAGAAGACAGUAAGGACCUAGGAACAACUCUUGACUCUCGGGCCCAAGAGCAGGGACCUAGAGAACAGGAGUACUCUCUGGUCCAGAGGAUGACCACCUCUGUUAGUUCCUGGUGAUAUUCUGUCUAAGAAAUAAGUCUCGUACUAUUGU